AACGCACCUUGCGCUCCUUGGUAUUCCGAGAAGCAUGCCUGUUUGAGUGUCAUUUAAUUCUCAACCUUACGAAUUUUGUUUGAAAGGCUUGGAUGUGAGGGUUUUGCUGGCUUUAAAAAAUAAGUCAACUCCCUUGAAAUGUAUUAGCAAGUGAUCAGACUUUGUCUAUUGGUGUGAUAACUAUCUACGCCAUUGGAUUGUCUUGAUUUUCCACUGCUUCUAAUUUAAAAGUUGUCUUAUUGACAAUUUUUACUUGACCAUUUGACCUCAAAUCAGGUAGGACUACCCGCUGAACUUAA
rnacentral:misc_RNA from 1 species